AGUGGCGGUUACAAUUAUAGUUUUCUCAUUUCCUCAUCAAAAAAAAAAGAAAAAAUAUCUUAUUUUUUAACAAAAUUUUGUGUUACAAGUGUUUUAUAAGUCGAGUGGCAUAAGAUUUCAUAAUAAUUAUGUCGGAUGCAUUGUUGGUGAUUGACAAAAAGAUGCAAAAUAUACAGAUCAAGUUUUGAAGGUCAUUCACCGUUGGAUUUCGUUAGUGAAUGCAGCGAUAUUCCAGAAUGAAAAAAGCUUCUUCCGCCCCAUUUCUUUGAACUUUCGAGAGUGAAAAAUCGAAUCACAUAAUCUAAGACUGGAUGAUAUAUAAUUCAGGAAGAUAAAUUAUUUGAAGUCGUAUCUUAUUAUGUAUAGAUAAGAAGACUGGACAUUGGAGGUGGUGGAAAAACGUAAAAGAUCCAGCAUCCCUGCAUCAUUUAAUCAUCGAUUGAAGUGUCCAUUUUUUGAGGGUAUAAGGUGUUUGUUGCGGAGCAGCUCCUGGAGGAGAUCUGGCAUUGCCGAGUCGCAGUUCAAUGUAUUUGGUCCAGAGUAAGGAAGAUUCCUCUUUUUGAAGUGAUAAUAUAUGCUGUCAUCGUAUAUCUCUAUAAUAAGAAGCGAAAAUUCUCAGUGUUAAUUUCCAAAUGACAAUCAGAAGGACAGGAAGGAUGUGGACGAAGAAAAGUGGCCCCAGCAUACUGCAGAAUUUUUUUUUCUAAUUUUUUUAUUCUGUAGUGUAGUUCCCGAUCUGUGCAGAAGUGCAUUCAAGAGCAGAGAUCUUCGGGAGUGGUCCAAGAAGAAAAGGUAGGGGCAAUUAUUG